rnacentral:tRNA from 1 species
UCCUGUGUAGCUCGGUAGGUAGAGCAUGGCGGUUGCAAUGCCAGGGUUGUUGGUUCGAUUCUCACAGGGG